CGCACCUUGCACCCUCUGGUAUCCCGGUGGGUAUGCCUGUUCGAGCGUCAUUUCACCCCUAUCAAGCCGUACCGGUUUGGCGUUAGGUGUCGCCCUGCUUCGGUAGGACGGGCCUUGAAGUUUUUGGCGACCCGGCGUGGUCUCAGGCGUAACGGAUUGUACUGCAAAUCACGCCUGCUCGGCUCGCGUCGGCGUCCUGCCCCUAAACGCAAAUGGACAUCUUGAGAUUGACCUCGGAUCAGGUAGGAGUACCCGCUGAACUUAA
rnacentral:misc_RNA from 1 species